CCGAGGAAUAGCUCAGUUGGUAGAGCGAUACCUUGCCAAGGUAUAGGUCGUCGGUUCGAACCCGAUUUCCCGCUCCA
rnacentral:tRNA from 1 species